rnacentral:rRNA from 1 species
CCUGGCUCAGGAUGAACGCUGGCGGCGUGCCUAAUACAUGCAAGUCGAACGAGUUCUCGUUGAUGAUCGGUGCUUGCACCGAGAUUCAACAUGGAACGAGUGGCGGACGGGUGAGUAACACGUGGGUAACCYGCCCUUAAGUGGGGGAUAACAUUUGGAAACAGAUGCUAAUACCGCAUAGAUCCAAGAACCGCAUGGUUCUUGGCUGAAAGAUGGCGUAAGCUAUCGCUUUUGGAUGGACCCGCGGCGUAUUAGCUAGUUGGUGAGGUAAUGGCUCACCAAGGCGAUGAUACGUAGCCGAACUGAGAGGUUGAUCGGCCACAUUGGGACUGAGACACGGCCCAAACUCYUACGGGAGGCAGCAGUAGGGAAUCUUCCACAAUGGACGCAAGUCUGAUGGAGCAACGCCGCGUGAGUGAAGAAGGCUUUCGGGUCGUAAAACUCUGUUGUUGGAGAAGAAUGGUCGGCAGAGUAACUGUUGUCGGCGUGACGGUAUCCAACCAGAAAGCCACGGCUAACUACGUGCCAGCAGCCGCGGUAAUACGUAGGUGGCAAGCGUUAUCCGGAUUUAUUGGGCGUAAAGCGAGCGCAGGCGGUUUUUUAAGUCUGAUGUGAAAGCCCUCGGCUUAACCGAGGAAGCGCAUCGGAAACUGGGAAACUUGAGUGCAGAAGAGGACAGUGGAACUCCAUGUGUAGCGGUGAAAUGCGUAGAUAUAUGGAAGAACACCAGUGGCGAAGGCGGCUGUCUGGUCUGUAACUGACGCUGAGGCUCGAAAGCAUGGGUAGCGAACAGGAUUAGAUACCCUGGUAGUCCAUGCCGUAAACGAUGAAUGCUAGGUGUUGGAGGGUUUCCGCCCUUCAGUGCCGCAGCUAACGCAUUAAGCAUUCCGCCUGGGGAGUACGACCGCAAGGUUGAAACUCAAAGGAAUUGACGGGGGCCCGCACAAGCGGUGGAGCAUGUGGUUUAAUUCGAAGCAACGCGAAGAACCUUACCAGGUCUUGACAUCUUUUGAUCACCUGAGAGAUCAGGUUUCCCCUUCGGGGGCAAAAUGACAGGUGGUGCAUGGUUGUCGUCAGCUCGUGUCGUGAGAUGUUGGGUUAAGUCCCGCAACGAGCGCAACCCUUAUGACUAGUUGCCAGCAUUUAGUUGGGCACUCUAGUAAGACUGCCGGUGACAAACCGGAGGAAGGUGGGGAUGACGUCAAAUCAUCAUGCCCCUUAUGACCUGGGCUACACACGUGCUACAAUGGAUGGUACAACGAGUUGCGAGACCGCGAGGUCAAGCUAAUCUCUUAAAGCCAUUCUCAGUUCGGACUGUAGGCUGCAACUCGCCUACACGAAGUCGGAAUCGCUAGUAAUCGCGGAUCAGCACGCCGCGGUGAAUACGUUCCCGGGCCUUGUACACACCGCCCGUCACACCAUGAGAGUUUGUAACACCCGAAGCCGGUGGCGUAACCCUUUUAGGGAGCGAGCCGUCUAAGGUGGGACAAAUGAUUAGGGUGAAGUCGUA